GAAAACUCAGGAACCAGGAGUGACAGGAGAGCAGGAUUCACAGAAUAACAGUUGGAUAAACAGACAACCCGACAAGGAGGGAACAGAAAACACGGACUGAAAUAGAGGAUUGACAGAAAUCAGUGACCGAAGGAUCCCUGGGGACUACCUGACGCCGAGGAAGCGCUACCGCAUAGUUGCCCCAGGCACGGUGGCUGAAAGCCCGGUGCAGCAAUUGGAAAGGGGCAGAAAACCCUAACCCUAACCCUGCUUCAUUCUCCCCUCACCUGUUAACAAGAUACCAAGAUACUUGCUCUCCUCAACUUGAGGCAGGACCUCCCCUCCAACUUGAAGAAGGCAGGCCACCCUUUACCGGUCGAGAACCAUGGCAUCCUCCUCCUUUUCUCUUUCAUGCAUUUCAAUUACUCAUAAAAUAAGCUUAAGUAGUUAAAUAAAACAAUCUGCAGGAAUUCCCAAUUUUUUUUAUCCAAUUAUUCAAUUAAUUGUCAGAAUAAAUUAUGAUAAUCAUUAGCUGCCUCCCUAGUGAGAAUACAUUCCAGCAGCAGGAUGACAGCAAUCAGGAAACAACAUGAUGUCAGGAAAAAAGAACUUUAUUCUUAUUAGUCUGGAAUAAAUACUUUUUGUUAUAUUUGAUUAUUUUAUAAGAUAGAAAACACAGUAGUUACAAAAUAAAAACAAGAUCUAGUUAAGUCAUUAUAUUUAAUCAUUUAAACACACUUCAAUAAAUAUUUUUGCUUCUUUUUUUUUCUUUAGUUUUACAAAAAUGGAGUGUGAGAACAGCUGAGCGAACAACAAUGGAUUAAAGGUCAGUAGAGUAGACACCUGUCAACACAAACACCUGCAUAGGCCACAGGAAUACACAAACUAAAACCGUUACAGAUUUCCAGGUUUUCACACACGUGUCCACAGCACUAUUACAGCUACAUACAACUUUCCAAUCGGUCUAUUUGAGCACUAGUCUGCACAGAGAUGUAUCAUCAUACAGUACACUGAAGAACACAAUCAGAGCAAGCUUUAUAAGACACGUGGGUAACAGAGGGGCCGCAGCACCCCGAUCUUUAGUUCUUCCAACACAGGGUUUAUUUCAGCCUGCUGUGAUUCCCAUCUGUGUGUGUGUUGUGUAAACCGAGGGUCAGUUUAAACUUGCACUCAGGGAGACAAAGAGUUAAACAUAUCAGCUGCAAGAACAAGUUUCUUGCAGCUUUUGAAAACUGUUAUUACAUUAGCCCAUUUUUAUGGGAUAACUUACCUGACAUGCAGAGGUCAAACCUGUUUUAAAGAAGCCUAAUGUUGAUUCAAUCAGAAAAAACAGGUUCAUAUCAAAUCUAAUGUUUUUUUUUGGAAAAGACCAAAGGGUUCGUUGUUUAUAAAUGCACUCCUUUGUGACAAUUUGUUUUUUAGUGCUUAAUGACCUAAAUGACAUAUA